rnacentral:rRNA from 1 species
AGCGAACGCUGGCGGCAGGCCUAACACAUGCAAGUCGAACGAACCUUUCGGGGUUAGUGGCGGACGGGUGAGUAACACGUGGGAACGUGCGUUUAGGUUCGGAAUAACUCAGGGAAACUUGUGCUAAUACCGAAGGUGCCCUUCGGGGGAAAGAUUUAUCGCCUUUAGAGCGGCCCGCGUCUGAUUAGCUAGUUGGUUGAGGUAAUGGCUCACCAAGGCGACGAUCAGUAGCUGGUCUGAGAGGAUGAUCAGCCACAUUGGGACUGAGACACGGCCCAAACUCCUACGGGAGGCAGCAGUGGGGAAUCUUGCGCAAUGGGCGAAAGCCUGACGCAGCCAUGCCGCGUGAAUGAUGAAGGUCUUAGGAUUGUAAAAUUCUUUCACCGGGGACGAUAAUGACGGUACCCGGAGAAGAAGCCCCGGCUAACUUCGUG